rnacentral:rRNA from 1 species
AUUGAACGCUGGCGGCAGGCCUAACACAUGCAAGUCGAAUGGUAACAGGAAACAGCUUGCUGUUUCGCUGACGAGUGGCGGACGGGUGAGUAAUGUCUGGGAAACUGCCUGAUGGAGGGGGAUAACUACUGGAAACGGUAGCUACUACCGCAUAACGUCGCAAGACCAAAGAGGGGGACCUUCGGGCCUCUUGCCCUCAGAUGUGCCCAGAUGGGAUUAGCUAGUAGGUGGGGUAACGGCUCACCUAGGCGACGAUCCCUAGCUGGUCUGAGAGGAUGACCAGCCACACUGGAACUGAGACACGGUCCAGACUCCUACGGGAGGCAGCAGUGGGGAAUAUUGCACAAUGGGCGCAAGCCUGAUGCAGCCAUGCCGCGUGUAUGAAGAAGGCCUUCGGGUUGUAAAGUACUUUCAGCGGGGAGGAAGGGAGUAAAGUUAAUACCUUUGCUCAUUGACGUUACCCGCAGAAGAAGCACCGGCUAACUCCGUG